UGUAAAGUUUCGGGAUUUAGCUGCUAGUUGUGCCGUGAAUUUCGUGCGAGAGAAGAAUCGGCGGAUUUUUAACAUCAUUUCGUGUCCAUCGAUGUUUGCUUUCUUUUGAAAAUUGCGAGAAGGUUCAUCACUACAAAACGACGAAAUUUCAUGACGAUCUGGGCGUAAAUGGCGAUAAAAAUUCGUCGAGAACAUGCCAAGUUGUGAACAAUCUUCGCUCAAAUUUGCUUCCGAAAAGUUGGCUAACGUGUAGUGAAACAGGAGGAGAUCUACCAUUAUUUUGCGUAUACACAAUGUUGUAUAAUGUUGGUUGAGUGUUUACAGCGAGGACAACUCAAAGUUAUUCAACUCGUGUGAGAAGUUCUCUGAGUCAAGAUAAUGAAUAAAAGCGGCCCAAGAAUGCUUCCUUGUUGGACCCCUACAUUCACAGGCUUUACAGAGGACUGCUUAUUAUAAACGACGGUGACUUGGCAUC
rnacentral:misc_RNA from 1 species